UACGGAGGGGGCUAGCGUUGUUCGGAAUUACUGGGCGUAAAGCGCACGUAGGCGGCUUUGUAAGUCAGAUGUGAAAGCCCCGGGCUCAACCUGGGAAUUGCAUUUGAGACUGCGUAGCUAGGGUGCGGAAGAGGGAAGCGGAAUUUCCGGUGUAGCGGUGAAAUGCGUAGAUAUCGGAAGGAACACCAGUGGCGAAAGCGGCUUCCUGGUCCAGCACCGACGUUCAGGCACGAAAGCGUGGGGAGCAAACAGG
rnacentral:rRNA from 1 species